rnacentral:rRNA from 1 species
CCUACGGGAGGCAGCAGUGGGGAAUAUUGGACAAUGGGGGCAACCCUGAUCCAGCCAUGCCGCGUGUGUGAAGAAGGCCCUCGGGUUGUAAAGCACUUUCAGUGAGGAAGAACGCCUGGUGGUUAAUACCCAUCAGGAAAGACAUCACUCACAGAAGAAGCACCGGCUAACUCCGUGCCAGCAGCCGCGGUAAUACGGAGGGUGCGAGCGUUAAUCGGAAUUACUGGGCGUAAAGCGCGCGUAGGUGGCUUGAUAAGCCGGUUGUGAAAGCCCCGGGCUCAACCUGGGAACGGCAUCCGGAACUGUCAAGCUAGAGUGCAGGAGAGGAAGGUAGAAUUCCCGGUGUAGCGGUGAAAUGCGUAGAGAUCGGGAGGAAUACCAGUGGCGAAGGCGGCCUUCGGGACUGACACUGACACUGAGGUGCGAAAGCGUGGGUAGCAAACAGGAUUAGAUACCCUGGUAGUC